rnacentral:ncRNA from 1 species
GAACAAUGUAGGUAAAGUCAGUCAGCAAGUCAGAUCCAUAACUUUGGGAUAAGGAUUGGCUCUAAGGGCUGGGUCGGUCGGGCUGGGUUGGGAAGCAGGGCUGGGCGCGAGUCUCGGCUGGAGCCCUCCCUCCCCUUCUCCCAGGAAGGCCGGGGUACCGGGGGGUCAAGCCAUCGUCCACGGCAGCGAAUCUGGACACGGCGCUGGGCCCAGAGGGGGGAGGGGAAGGCCGGCGGGCGGUCUCGGCCAGUGUUUAGCAGCUGGCUUAGAACUGGUGAGGACCAGGGGAAUUCAACUGUUUAAUUAAAACAAAGCAUCCUGAAGGCCCGUGGUGGGUGUCAACACGAUGCGAUUUCUGCCCAGUGCUCUGAAUGUCAAAGUGAAGAAAUUAAAUGAAGCGCGGCUAAACGGCGGGAGUAACUAUGACUCUCUUAACUCCCUUGGGUAAGGAGUGGAGACUUAGUGACCUCUACCUCCAUGUGGUUCC